UAGAAACUAUGGCCACAGAUGUCUCGCCGGUUCUGUCUCUGCUGCACAGAGCGCUGUGAAGGGUUUAUAUAGCAGCUAGUGGCUUCACAUUCACAGGCCUGCCAGUUUGCACAGAUGAUGUCAUCGAUUGAAAGCACCAAACACAUCCAUUUUAGGGGUUGCAUAGAUGUCAGCCAAAGCUCUGCACUAAAUGGGUGGUAUGCAAUUCUUCAAUUCUCUACUCUACUGGCUGAAUUUGAAAGUUAAUGAACUUGGCUAGCUUUUGCUCCUGACCGCCCCCUCCCGUCCCUUAGCUUGAAAAAUGCAGACCGCGCCACAAUGAUCUCAGUCAGGGACCUGCAGGAGGAUCAGAUGGUGACAGGGGUCUCAGCAGGGUCAGGCAACCAGGGAAGACCAAUCUGUGACAGAGUGCUAGAGGAGAGUCAGCGGCAGCAGCUUGGGGCGGUAAGCUACUCGUCAGCGCUAUGCGCUGGGCCUCUUCUACAAAGGCCCAGGCUCACAUCGAUGUCCCCUGGGCCGCCAAGUACGUCUCCAAUAAUCCCUGCAUUCGCUUCAUUGCCAUCGACGAUCAAAAGCGCAAUUUAGAAUCCCCAGAGUACGGUCCCUCCAUGGUGGUCCACACCAGUGUUCCAUUUGGUGUCAAACACCUGGAGGAGGCCAAGGAGCAGGUGGAGCCUAUCAUCCUGGUGAAGCUGAACAAGCUGCUGCCUGGCUUGCCACAGCCCGACAGUAUCAAGUGCCAGAAGUGGAGAUACUCACAGGCUGGGCUGGGGGUCAGAGGCCACAGAACAUCUGUGUGGGAGGCCACAUCACUGGGAGUGCCAGAGCAUGGGCCAAGGCCCACUGGAACUGGAUGGGCCAUGAUAGAACGCACACACACACACACAUUUGUACUGUAACACACACAAGCACAUUUGUAUUAUAAUAUAGACACACACACAUUCAUAAUGGAAUGCGCAGACACACACACAUACAUAUGCACACUCACUCACACUGUACACACAUCAGCUCCCUGUCAAAUGCACUAGCAGUCAUUCUAACAAAGACCCUUGUGACAGAGAGACACAAAUGCAUGAUUGAUCCUAACAGUUAUAGCAGUUUAACUGUUGCUAAAAUAAAGGUUAUAAGUUGCGUGCUCUUUAGAUUACUUCUCUUAUGAAGCAGACGUAUUCUCAGCUGUCGAAAUCUCUUGCUUUCCUUGAGAUAAAACGUGUUUAUAUUGGGGCGUUUAUCUUAAGGUCCCAAACCCUCCUCCUUGGCGCUCCGUGCUCUUUGCCCUGGGAAGUCAGCCUCACACUGUAUAUGGAGACGGCAGGGCCCAGGGCCACUUUAUCAACGUACCACUAGAGUGAACCAAACAAUUUGUCCAUGGCCACAUUUCAACAAAAAUGCUUAUCAUCAAUUGAUUUACAUGGUGAUGACCUUUUCAAGGAUGCAUGAGCAAACAAACAAUUAUGUUUUGGGGGAGGAGUGGGGAUGGAGGGAGGUGGAGGUUGGGGGUUAUGAUAGCAGCACAUAGUAGCCUAUAACGAUGCCUAUUAAAAGCCCCAGCAGGAAAUGGAUCCUAUUUCCUUACCCUUAGCGGUGCAGGGCAGCGUACCUCGAUGUUUAUCCAUCUGCUGCCUCUCCUCUUAGUACAGGCCAGCAGAAGCCUCUGACAGAAGUUACGACACGUACACCGGCUUGUGUGUUUACACUCCCAAGUCAUUAACACACUUAACUCUCAGCAUUCAGGAUUUAAACAUGAGGAAGACAGUUGGCUGCGAGGCUGAUUCGCUAUCUGCCUGUCUAGCCAAAGGCAGUGCAUUUUAUGGCUUGAUCUGUGGUAUCCCACCACGUUCAUCCAGAGGUAACUUGAGCACAGACAGUUUUUUUGGAUUGCAGGAUAACUGUAGCACAAACAAAUCAUUGUCUCAAUACACGUUCUACUGUAGCUGUAGAAAUAGAUACAUCUGUGGCCAUGACAACAAUUGGGCUUCAGUAGUGUAGUAUACAAUCAAUGCAUCAUUUAUCAGUGAAGGACAGUGAGCUGCCGAUUCCACUCAAUAGCUCAGCAGCAGCAUGAAGGACUAAUCAGCCCUCUCUAUUGGGUCUAGAGACCGUUAGGGCCACUCCACCUGCUGCUGUAUGGCCCUUCUCUCUCCACCCCCUCCCCCCCUCUCUACCCCACCACCCCCUCUCUCUUUCUCAACUAAUUAGGUGACGAGCUCGGUGGCCGACUGCCCAGGGCAGAUGACGCCGCUGUCCCAGCCUCUGUUGGUGUGUGGGGGGCGACGGCUUCACACAUUCCAAUUUCGACGGCUGUAUCGAGUCUGCCCUGAAGGUGUUUGACGUUCUGAAGUCCUCGGUAGGGGGGAUGGGAGUAUAGUGUGGGGGCCUCUAUGUGUACAGUAUGCUAGCCCAGAGAGGGGGGUACUGCCAUUGAUCCAUUACCCCCCCUGUCCACCGAAGUACUUGAUAUGUUUUUUUAACAUGUUGAUGCUAUGCUGUGUUCACUUGUGGUUAGAUGUGGAACCGGUGUUUAUAUGACCCACUAAUACAACAAGGUGGACCAUGAUUCCGUUCCAAUGAAGUACUUUACUCAAAGUAAAUAUGGUGUUGUUACUCAGGAUUUCUCUCUAAACAUCUGAUUUUGGUUCAGAUUGAAUAAAAAAGUUGAAAACUAUAUCUCUCCCUUUGUGUCUGUAAUUCCACUUUCUUUUUUUUUCUCAGAAAGAUGGCAGGUGGUAUGGGAACCAAUCAGCACAGAGCUCAGAGCAAAGUCGUACAAAAUGGAUGUGGGUAGUCAAAAAGCAAUUAGAAAGUAAUCAAGAUCCCUUAAUGACUUCUAAAUGCAUUAGGCAAAGUAGGAACACUAUGUGCUGUUUGACUAAUACCAUAUCUCACCCACCAUUGAUGUAGCCAGAGGACUCCGGGUAUGACUGCCUGGUAUGGCUAACACCAGGUCUGCCCUGUGCUCAUGAAGGUCAAGUGUCCCAGUGAGAGCCCUGUGGCCCUGCCAACCCUAA